GAUGAAGAACGUAGCGAAAUGCGAUACUUGUUGUGAAUUGCAGAAUCCCGUGAACCAUCGAGUCUUUGAACGCAAGUUGCGCCCGAAGCCAUCAGGUUGAGGGCACGUCUGCCUGGGCGUCACAUAUCGUUGCCCAAUGCCUAUUGCAGUGCAAUAGGAAUUUCUAGGGCGAAUGAUGGCUUCCCGUGAGCGUUGUUGCCUCGCGGUUGGUUGAAAAUCGAGUCCUUGGUAGGGUGUGCCAUGGUAGAUGGUGGUCGAGUUAGAACGAUACCGAUCAUGUGCAUGCUCCCCAAAAUAUGGCCUCUAUGACCCACACGCGUCUUUUGACGCUCAUGACGAGACCUCAGGUCAGGCGGGGCUACCCGCUGAAUUUAAGCAUAUCAAUAAGCGGAGGA
rnacentral:misc_RNA from 1 species